CGCGUAAACGUACACGCCACGCGGUUUGUGAUAGUGUUUUUUCUAUGAUAGUGGGUUACCGGUCUUUUUCCUGUGAUAUCUUGUCGCAUGACGGUGUGAAACAUUGCAAGAAAAUAUUAUCGCAGCUUUAUAUUCAUAUACACAACAGUAGUGUGUUCUCUACAGUAGUGCGACAAAGAAAUAGCAUUGUCACAAAAGAAAUAUUGAGACUAAUAUAUUGGGGAUCGCUUUAUUUAUCUGCAUUAUUU